CCUAUGGGAGGCAGCAGUGGGGAAUAUUGGGCAAUGGAGGCAACUCUUACCCAGCAAUGCCGCGUGAAUGAAGAAGGUCUUCGGAUUGUAAAGUUCUUUAAUUGGGGACGAAAAAAAUGACGGUACCCAAGGAAGAAGCCCCGGCUAACUACGUGCCAGCAGCCGCGGUAAUACGUAGGGGGCAAGCGUUAUCCGGAUUUACUGGGUGUAAAGGGGGCGCAGACGGCGAUGCAAGCCAGGAGUGAAAGCCCGGGGCCCAACCCCGGGACUGCUCUUGGAACUGCGUGGCUAGAGUGCAGGAGGGGCAGGCGGAAUUCCUGGUGUAGCGGUGAAAUGCGUAGAUAUCAGGAGGAACACCGGUGGCGAAGGCGGCCUGCUGGACUGCAACUGACGUUGAGGCCCGAAAGCGUGGGGAGCAAACAGGAUUAGAUACCCUUUAGUC
rnacentral:rRNA from 1 species